AUUGAACGCUGGCGGCAGGCCUAACACAUGCAAGUCGAGCGGAUGAAGGUAGCUUGCUCCUGGAUUCAGCGGCGGACGGGUGAGUAAUGCCUAGGAAUCUGCCUGGUAGUGGGGGAUAACGUCCGGAAACGGGCGCUAAUACCGCAUACGUCCUGAGGGAGAAAGUGGGGGAUCUUCGGACCUCACGCUAUCAGAUGAGCCUAGGUCGGAUUAGCUAGUUGGUGGGGUAAAGGCCUACCAAGGUGACGAUCCGUAACUGGUCUGAGAGGAUGAUCAGUCACACUGGAACUGAGACACGGUCCAGACUCCUACGGGAGGCAGCAGUGGGGAAUAUUGGACAAUGGGCGAAAGCCUGAUCCAGCCAUGCCGCGUGUGUGAAGAAGGUCUUCGGAUUGUAAAGCAUUUUAAGUUGGGAGGAAGGGCAGUAAGUUAAUACCUUGCUGUUUUGACGUUACCAACAGAAUAAGCACCGGCUAACUUCGUG
rnacentral:rRNA from 1 species